UACGGGGGGUGCGAGCGUUGUCCGGAAUCACUGGGCGUAAAGGGCGCGUAGGUGGUUUGAUAAGGGUGUGGUGAAAGUCCGGGGCUCAACCCCGGAUCUGCCGUGCCGACUGUCAAACUCGAGGACUGUAGAGGCAGACGGAAUUCCGGGUGUAGCGGUGGAAUGCGUAGAGAUCCGGAGGAACACCAGUGGCGAAGGCGGCUGGCUGGACCUGACCUGACGCUGAGGCGCGAAGGCGUGGGGAGCGAACGGG
rnacentral:rRNA from 1 species